rnacentral:rRNA from 1 species
GUCGAGGAUUUUUCUCAAUGGGGGAAACCUUGAAGGAGCGACGCCGCGUGGGGGAUGAAGGUCUUCGGAUUGUAAACCCCUGUCAUCUGGGAACAAUGCGCUCCACCUAACACGUGGAUCGUUGAUAGUACCGGAAGAGGAAGCCGUGGCUAACUCUGUGCCAGCAGCCGCGGUAAUACAGAGACGGCAAGCGUUGUUCGGAUUCAUUGGGCGUAAAGGGUGCGCAGGCGGUGCGGCAAGUCGGAUGUGAAAUCCCGCGGCUUAACUGCGGAACGUCAUUCGAAACUGCCGGGCUCGAGGACUGGAGAGGAGACUGGAAUGGUCGGUGUAGCGGUGAAAUGCGUAGAGAUCGAUCAGAACACCGGUGGCGAAGGCGGGUCUCUGGACAGUUCCUGACGCUGAGGCACGAAAGCUAGGGGAGCAAACGGGAUUAGAAACCCUAGUAGUCC